rnacentral:rRNA from 1 species
GACGAACGCUGGCGGCGUGCCUAAUACAUGCAAGUAGAACGCUGAAACUUGGUGCUUGCACCGAGCGGAUGAGUUGCGAACGGGUGAGUAACGCGUAGGUAACCUGCCUGGUAGCGGGGGAUAACUAUUGGAAACGAUAGCUAAUACCGCAUAAGAGUAGAUGUUGCAUGACAUUUGCCUAAAAGGUGCAAUUGCACCACUACCAGAUGGACCUGCGUUGUAUUAGCUAGUUGGUGGGGUAACGGCUCACCAAGGCGACGAUACAUAGCCGACCUGAGAGGGGGAUCGGCCACACUGGGACGGAGACACGGCCCAGACUCCUACGGGAGGCAGCAGUAGGGAAUCUUCGGCAAUGGACGGAAGUCUGACCGAGCAACGCCGCGUGAGUGAAGAAGGUUUUCGGAUCGUAAAGCUCUGUUGUAAGAGAAGAACGAGUGUGAGAGUGGAAAGUUCACACUGUGACGGUAUCUUACCAGAAAGGGACGGCUAACUACGUG